rnacentral:misc_RNA from 1 species
UACGAAGGGUGCAAGCGUUGUUCGGAAUUACUGGGCGUAAAGAGUUCGUAGGCGGGAUUGUAAGUCAGAUGUGAAAUCCCUGGGCUUAACCCAGGACGUGCAUCUGAAACUGCUUUUCUUGAGUACUGGAGGGGGUCGCGGAAUUGCUGGUGUAGGAGUGAAAUCCGUAGAGAUCAGCAGGAACGCCUGGGGCGAAAGCGGCGACCUGGCCAGAUACUGACGCUGAGGAACGAAAGCGUGGGGAGCAAACAGG